UACGGAGGGUGCGAGCGUUGUUCGGAAUCACUGGGCGUAAAGGGCGUGUAGGCGGUCCGCUAAGUCUGAUGUGAAAGCCCGGGGCUCACCCCCGGAAGGGCAUUGGAAACUGGCGGACUCGAGUCCCGGAGAGGAGGGUGGAAUUCCUGGUGUAGCGGUGAAAUGCGUAGAUAUCAGGAGGAACACCGGUGGCGAAGGCGGCCCUCUGGACGGUGACUGACGC
rnacentral:rRNA from 1 species